AGCAAAAAAGAGGAGGACUGGCAGCAGAUGUGAGCUCAGGCCUAAUCAUCUUCUUCAAAAAUUUAGGCUUCAUUGCCUAGGAAUCAUCAGCAGAACUUACAUAAUACCCAGCUAUUUUGAUUAUCUACACUUUCCUCAUGCUUUACUUUAUGCAAAAGCCUUGACUCCAUAGCACUUUACUCCUGAAAAUGUCCUACAACUUAGAUCCAAAAGAGAUGACACGGAACACCAGGAACUGGGAUGACCAAACGUUCCCAUUUUUACCAGGACAGUCCUGGUUUUCACCUGCUGUCCUGGCAUAAUUAUCAACAGUGCUCCUUUUUCUCCCAAAGCGUUCCAGUUUGAAUGACUCAUUAAAUGGUCUCUAUAUGCUGUGACACUCCUCAGAGUACUCUCUGCAACUUACACGUGAACGGAAGAAAAUAUUCAUUAUCAUGGAAAUGAGCCAGUAAGAUUAUUUGGAAAUAUUUGUAUUAGAUAAUGUUAGAUAAUGUACAGUAUAUCUCUCCAUGGUCAGAAACGAACUUAAUGAACAGUUGCUUGAGUUUAAUUUCAAAGAUUAUGUUUUCGUCUUGGUAAAUAAAUUUGAUAUCAUUCUCUAUUUGGUAAACAAAACUACGAAACCAUAUACACUUAUUUUUUACUUUCACUGCCAAAAAAUAAAGCCUAAUUUAUUGCAUAAGCAAUAAAAUCCCUGAAGUGCCUAGAAACAUCUAUUCCCUCUGCUUCCUUCAGACGGAUUCUGAGCUCCUCCAUCCAUAAGGGCGUUACCUUUUAUCAUCAUCCACUUCACAUAUUCUUUUGGAAGGUGGUCAAGUAUACGUUUUAUAUUAAGCUUAAUAUUCUAAAAAUAGCUACACCUUUCAUGAGCCUUGCCAGUUCUAACUCAGAUAAAUUAAAUGAGGUACUAUAGAUACCAUUUGGAGGUGGAACCACCUUUGGUCAGCAUUCAACUGAGGAUGAUAUGGAGUUUUCUGAAUGUCAUUAUGAGGAUAACAACCACUCUCAAGCUGAAAUCAGGUGUAUUUGAAUUACCUUGAGCCCUAAUACUCAUUUUUCCCUUCCCCAUCCAUGUAAGAAUCUGGAUGAAACAAGGAAUAUUAUUAUACAAGAAGGUCUAGGCCUGAGAGCCUCAAGUGAAACAAUUUUGACCCAACCCAAAUAAUCAAGAAAGCAUGAGGAACCCUCCACAGCAGUCAUCCAACUGGUGAAGAGCCCAGCGUCCUGCCCUAAAUUAGGAUGGAAAGCAGAAGAAAAGGGAAGCCCUGAGUCUCAGGUGGAAAACAUAAAGACAACUAAUACUGAAUUCUGAAGUAACUGUGCUGAGAGGCACAAGGAGAACUUCCAAUUAAACUUAGAAGAGCUAAAUAUUAUGACAUCCAGAGACCAGUCUGAAGCAAUCCCUUCCCUGAAAAGACCCAACUAAAUCACUAACAGCGACCCUUUUGAGUGCUUGCUAUGUGCCAGGCACUGUGGUUAGCAACUUCCAUGGACUAAAUCACUUUCCAUAUUUCAUUAAAUCUAAGCUACUGCUGAUUGUCAGGAGCAUCAUUAUGUUGUUGUGUCCCACGAAGAAAGAAAAAAAAUUCCAUGGAUUAUAUUACGACACAUCACUGAUUGUAUAGUAUACUCUUAUUUCAGAGAUGCUAAAAUAUUUUUGAAACGUGCUGUUUUUCAUUUUUAAAUUUGAGAUAUGGUCAUUCUUACAACUACAUUAUGAAAAUAGGUAUUAUUUAUUAUCUCUAACUUACAGAUGAAGAACCUGAAUCACCAUCACUGGCCCAAGGUUAGAGAACUGCUGCCACAACCUAAGAGGCCACAAGGUGAGAGCACAGCAUCACAAGAUUGCGACAGUUGUGUCCCUGAGUCACCUGAUGGAGGAGAGCCUCUGCCCACCAACAGAAGGGACGCCUGCCACAGCAUGGCUUGCCAAGCAGUGCCAUGUCC